AGAUCUCAAAUCAGGCAGGAUUACCCGCUGA
rnacentral:rRNA from 1 species